AACGAACGCUGGCGGCAUGCCUAACACAUGCAAGUCGAACGAGACCUUCGGGUCUAGUGGCGCACGGGUGCGUAACGCGUGGGAACCUGCCCUUAGGUUCGGAAUAACUCCCCGAAAGGGGUGCUAAUAACGGAUAAUGUCUUCGGACCAAAGAUUUAUCGCCUUUGGAUGGGCCCGCGUUGGAUUAGCUAGUUGGUAGGGUAAAAGCCUACCAAGGCGACGAUCCAUAGCUGGUCUGAGAGGAUGAUCAGCCACACUGGGACUGAGACACGGCCCAGACUCCUACGGGAGGCAGCAGUGGGGAAUAUUGGACAAUGGGCGAAAGCCUGAUCCAGCAAUGCCGCGUGAGUGAUGAAGGCCUUAGGGUUGUAAAGCUCUUUUACCCGGGAUGAUAAUGACAGUACCGGGAGAAUAAGCUCCGGCUAACUCCGU
rnacentral:rRNA from 1 species